rnacentral:tRNA from 1 species
GCCUGGCUGGCUCAGUUGUGGAGCGUGCAACUCUUGAUCUCGGGGUUGUGGGUUUGAGCCCCACGUUAGGUG